GGCGGCGUGCCUAAUACAUGCAAGUAGAACGCUGAAGAGAGGAGCUUGCUCUUCUUGGAUGAGUUGCGAACGGGUGAGUAACGCGUAGGUAACCUGCCUGGUAGCGGGGGAUAACUAUUGGAAACGAUAGCUAAUACCGCAUAAAAUGGAUUAUCGCAUGAUAAUUCAUUGAAAGGUGCAAAUGCAUCACUACCAGAUGGACCUGCGUUGUAUUAGCUAGUUGGUGGGGUAACGGCUCACCAAGGCGACGAUACAUAGCCGACCUGAGAGGGUGAUCGGCCACACUGGGACUGAGACACGGCCCAGACUCCUACGGGAGGCAGCAGUAGGGAAUCUUCGGCAAUGGACGGAAGUCUGACCGAGCAACGCCGCGUGAGUGAAGAAGGUUUUCGGAUCGUAAAGCUCUGUUGUAAGAGAAGAACGAGUGUGAGAGUGGAAAGUUCACACUGUGACGGUAUCUUACCAGAAAGGGACGGCUAACUACGUGCCAGCAGCCGCGGUAAUACGUAGGUCCCGAGCGUUGUCCGGAUUUAUUGGGCGUAAAGCGAGCGCAGGCGGUUAGAUAAGUCUGAAGUUAAAGGCUGUGGCUUAACCAUAGUACGCUUUGGAAACUGUUUAACUUGAGUGCAAGAGGGGAGAGUGGAAUUCCAUGUGUAGCGGUGAAAUGCGUAGAUAUAUGGAGGAACACCGGUGGCGAAAGCGGCUCUCUGGCUUGUAACUGACGCUGAGGCUCGAAAGCGUGGGGAGCAAACAGGAUUAGAUACCCU
rnacentral:rRNA from 1 species